rnacentral:rRNA from 1 species
UCGGGAAUUUUGGGCAAUGGAGGGAACUCUGACCCAGCCAUGCCGCGUGCAGGAUGAAGGCGUUAUGCGUUGUAAACUGCUUUUAUAUAGGAAGAAAUAGUCCUUGCGAGGAAAGUUGACGGUACUAUAUGAAUAAGCACCGGCUAACUCCGUGCCAGCAGCCGCGGUAAUACGUAGGUGGCAAGCGUUGUCCGGAUUUAUUGGGUUUAAAGGGUGCGUAGGUGGCCCUGUAAGUCAGUGGUGAAAUAUCUCAGCUUAACUGAGAGGGUGCCAUUGAUACUGCAGGGCUUGAGUACAGAUGAGGUAGGCGGAAUUGACGGUGUAGCGGUGAAAUGCAUAGAUAUCGUCAAGAACACCGAUAGCGAAGGCAGCUUACCAAGCUGUAACUGACACUGAGGCACGAAAGUGUGGGGAUCAAACAGGAUUAGAUACCCAAGUAGUCCCUGAGCGGGCUGGCAAGGCGCAU